GAGAAGGUGGCUCAGUGGUAGAGUACUUGCCUUGCAUGCAUGAGGCCCUGGGUUCAAUUCCUCAUCAACACA
rnacentral:tRNA from 1 species